rnacentral:rRNA from 1 species
UACGAAGGGUGCAAGCGUUACUCGGAAUUACUGGGCGUAAAGCGUGCGUAGGUGGUUCGUUAAGUCAGGUGUGAAAGCCCCGGGCUCAACCUGGGAAUUGCAUUUGAGACUGAAUAGCUAGGGUGCGGAAGAGGGAAGCGGAAUUUCCGGUGUAGCGGUGAAAUGCGUAGAUAUCGGAAGGAACACCAGUGGCGAAAGCGGCUUCCUGGUCCAGCACCGACGUUCAGGCACGAAAGCGUGGGGAGCAAACAGG